AUGGGGAUGAGGGGAUGGAAAGCUCAGGCUGAGGGAGCGGCCGUGACCCUGCUGGAGUGCGGGGGGGACCUCCAGCCCCCCGGGGGGUCCCUGCGCCUCCUCUGCCGAGGCUCCGGGUUCAGUUUCGGGAGUUAUGCCAUGCAGUGGAUGCGCCAGAGACCCGGGCAGGGGCUGGAGUGGCUCGCAGGGAUCAGCUACAGUGGUGCUUACAUCUACUACGCGCCCUCAGUGCAGGGCCGGUUCACGAUCUCCAGGGACAACGGGCAGAGCUCGGUGACGCUGACCAUGAACAACCUCAAGGACGAGGAUUCCGGAUCCUAUUUCUGUGCCAGGGGUGGUGGUGCUAAUGAUGCCUAUGGUAUUGGCGCCAGCACCAUCACUGUCCCCUGA